rnacentral:rRNA from 1 species
ACCUACGGGGCGCAGCAGUGAGGAAUAUUGGUCAAUGGCCGAAGGGCUGAACCAGCCAAGCCGCGUGAAGGAAUAAGGCCCUACGGGUCGUAAACUUCUUUAGUCAGGGAACAAAGGGUGCCACGUGUGGCGCUGUGAGUGUACCUGAAGAAUAAGCAUCGGCUAACUCCGUGCCAGCAGCCGCGGUAAUACGGAGGAUGCGAGCGUUAUCCGGAUUCAUUGGGUUUAAAGGGUGCGCAGGCGGGCCUUUAAGCCGGCGGUGAAAUCGCGGGGCUCAACCCCGCCGAGC